CCCAGGCCUGGAGACCCACCUGUGCCAGCUGACCUGAGCAGAGGGACUCUGAUGUCUUCCCCCGGCUUUUGAUAGGAUGAGGCUCCUUUCUUCCCAGGACUCCCACAGCAAGCUCAAUUUAGGGCUUCCCAAGGACCCCUCCCUGUCUCUCCUAUUUGCUGUGAGUUCAGCAAAGGACGCUGCAGGCAGCUGAUAUAUCUCCCAGAACUGCAGGCCCACCCACACAGGAUAGGUGCUUGUGGUGACUGGGGACUGACAGCCAGCAGGGCUUUUGGGAGCUGGGAAUUCCCAGCAGAACUGAUCUGGAAUCUGGCUUCCACUUUGCUCCGGGUGCUCCCUGAGCACACUCUCAACCUCCGCAGGCCCUGGCCUCCUCAGCUGUGCAAUGGAGGCAACAAA
rnacentral:lncRNA from 1 species